GACCGGACAGUAACGUGUCCUUUCCUUCGGGACAAGAGUGACAGGUGGUGCAUGGUUGUCGUCAGCUCGUGUCGUGAGAUGUUGGGUUAAGUCCCGCAACGAGCGCAACCCUUAUCUUCAGUAGCCAGCAAUUCGGUUGGGCACUCUGGAGAGACUGCCAGGGAUAACCUGGAGGAAGGUGGGGAUGACGUCAAAUCAUCAUGCCCCUCAUGAUUUGGGCUACACACGUGCUACAAUGGCGUAAACAAAGGGAAGCAGCCCUGUGAAGGUGAGCAAAUCCCAAAAAUAACGUCUCAGUUCGGAUUGUAGUCUGCAACUCGACUACAUGAAGCUGGAAUCGCUAGUAAUCGCGAAUCAGAAUGUCGCGGUGAAUACGUUCCCGGGUCUUGUACACACCGCCCGUCACACCAUGGGAGUCGGAAAUGCCCGAAGUCAGUGACCCAACCGUAAGGAGGGAGCUGCCGAAGGUGGAGCCGGUAACUGGGGUGAAGUCGUAACAAGGUAGCCGUAUCGGAAGGUGCGGC
rnacentral:rRNA from 1 species